CGAGUUAGCGCAAUCAAAAGGCCAUCACAUUCUCCAGAGCAUAUCUGUGGAAUUCGGGCAAGACCUUGUCCAAAAGGAGGAGAAUUUAGCCUCAUUAGCGGAUGCUAAACGGGCAUUCGAUAGCUGCGUCCUGAGCAGAUGAUAUGGGAGAUUGAACUUUUAGCUCAAAGUGCCCUUACUGCUGAUUUGUUUCAUGACCUGAUUGAACAAGAACAGAGACCUGUGGAUCUAUAUCAGCUCAGCUGGCAGUGGCCUUUGUUCCUCUGUGUAGACACGGAGUAUUGGCUCGUGGGAUUGCUGGGCUAUUGAUGGGGGAAGGAUGAGGAGUUCGUCUGUGUUAAACUCUCUUCAGACUGGGUGGCCCAGUCCUCCCACAGUUCCCACAGCAGGUGGAAACCAAGAAUUGCUAUUAAACGAAGGUCAGAGGACUGUCAUUAAUAACAAAGUGUUUGUGUUUUUUCCUACGUCAUGAAAAAAAAGGUACAUUGUAUGGAAAUUAUCCAAUGUGAGGUUCUGGGAAUUUCAACAUUAGUCGAAAUGGACUUAAAGGGAUAGUUCACCCAAAAAUGAAACU